CUGAAAUGUUAGGGCUGUUAGUCAGUUAUGCGAAAUACAGUACACGUGUACAUGGAUACAAAGGCAAGUAAAGUUUGGAAGAAUGUGUCUGCCCGAUUACUACUCAUUACUUAACUCUGUUUAGUACAACUGCAUACCGUAUAUUUAACUCAAAGAGUAUGGAAAAACCUGCAUUGAACACUCUUGGCUCAAACGCAACAAAGACAGAAAAAUAAAUGCAACUAACAGCUCCCUUGCGACUAAGGCUCGCUCUUUCUUUCUUUCUUUCUUUCUUUCUUUCUUUCUUUCUUUCUUUCUUUCUUUUUCUCUUCCUUCCUUCCUCUCUUUCCUUCCAGACGUAUUUCUGAAGCCAAUUCCCUCACCCCAAAUAUGUACAUGUAUUAUGUACAAUAUGUACAUAACCAGGAGGAAGUUCGUUUUCACUUCACUGACACCCUUGAACCACCUUUCCGGGGGUUGAAAACCGCCCUCGCUGGUUCUAGGUCUCUCUCUCUCUCUCUCUCUCAGGAUUUCAAAAUCCGAGGCCGGUGGGGGAGGCGGGGAGAGAAGAUCUUCUGGCUAUUAUUUCUCUCCGACCUUUUGCUAAACAGGCUGCCGAGCUGAAAGGGCAGGAGGAGAGGACGGUCUGGUCUGCGACCCUGCCGCAAAGCCUGGGCGGAUGCUUACACAAGAAAGGAGAAUGAAGAGAAUGAAUGGAGAUGCUGUGGAUCUUACUUCCUCCCCACCUACUACAAGCAAGAUGUUCUCUGAGUGCUGAAAGGACAAAGAUAAAAGCUGAAGAAUGCACACUAUAACAUUCAAGUGGCACUAUUUGGAAUAUAUAAAUAAAUCAACACUUAUCUUUCACAAACGCAUAGCU